AAAAUGGUGUCUAUAGAAUAGGUAGAAUUGGAAGGAGUUUCAUGAGUUGUUACAGGGUCUGGAGUUUAAAGAGAAGUCAAGAAUGAACAGCAGAUAGGCAUCAAAAAGUUUGUUGUUAAUGAAUAAGAUAAUUUCUUGUGCCUGCUGACAGGAUUUAGAGGCAAAUCAUUGUCAAUCACUACUCAGAUUCAGUACUGCCAUAUGGCCUCUGCUAAAUCAGCUCUGGAACAGAAAAACUCUUCCUUAGUCCCCUGAUCAAUGAUUAAAGCUUGUGAGUUUGCCUAUUGAUGAGCAACAAGUUACAAAAUGGGGUACACACUUUUAUGGAAGUUCAGGAACUACUUUUACCUUAUCUACAAAUGAUACUUCUAAUAGCCAUGGCUUUUACAGUUCUUAUUAUCAUUAGUAUAGUU